rnacentral:lncRNA from 1 species
CUCCUGCGCCGGUGACCUUGGCCGAGCAGGCACAAUGACAAUAAGACCUUCCUGGUGUGGGUCAACGAGGAGGACCACCUGCGGGUCAUCUCCAUGCAGAAGGGGGGCAACAUGAAGGAGGUGUUCACCCGCUUCUGCACCGGCCUCACCCAGGUGCCAGGGACGGGGCAGGCCCAGACCCCAGGGCCCCAGCAGGGAUGUGGGUGCCCCAGCAUCAGUCCCCCCGGGGGAUUUCCGGCACUGGGGAGUCUCAGGGCCUGUAGGGGUUUCAGGCAGGCCUUCUCCCUCAUACCCUCUUCUCCGUCUGCAGAUUGAAACUCUCUUCAAGUCUAAGGACUAUGAGUUCAUGUGGAACCCUCACCUGGGCUACAUCCUCACCUGCCCAUCCAACCUGGGCACCGGGCUGCGGGCAGGUGUGCAUAUCAAGCUGCCCAACCUGGGCAAGCAUGAGAAGUUCUCGGAGGUGCUU